GCUGGAAGUACUCAUGCUAGAGAUGGCUCAUAGUUCUACCGAAAUCACAGCAUUGGACUUUUUUGCGGUGGAUAACUCCUUCAUCACUUCUGUAGCCACUUUCUUUAUCUCAAUGACGAUGAUCUUCAUUCAGUUCAUGACGUAACUUGGAAGAUCUCAAUGACUUGAAAAAAAUUACGACUGGAUCGUCUGACACAGUAGCUAAGAUACUACGUAGUAUUGGUACAGAAUUAGUUGUAGAGUUACACUAAUAACUUUUACAAGUAAUAAAAUUGAUUAUUGC